rnacentral:lncRNA from 1 species
GCAAAAGCGACAUCUUUUUUCUUGUAUUUCUAUUCUUUCAAGUAGGGCAUGUUUUAAUUUUUAAGAGAGAAAAAUGCCUCUUCCAGAUGAAAACUAAUCAGGACACAUCAUUUUCAAGGGUGUAAAGAAUAGCAAGUGUUUGAAAGACUGAAUGUGUUUCUCUCUGAAUAAAUAUCUCUGAUUAUUCUUUUCUGUGGUUGACUAACUGUAUAAAACAUGAUUAGGCCUAAUGUGCUAUUGAUGUGUCGGAGUCUUAGGCAGAGUUAAUGGUAUACUUAGCCUGGGCCUGCCUUUCUUUCUUUUCUCAUUUUCCAGGCUGCAUUGUGGCAUAGACUUUAGUCAAUACUGCAACUCCUCCUGAGCAAGCAUUAAAUUGAACAGAUGAAUGGCAGCAUUUUAAAGGAGAUCUGAUAACCCAAACAUGCUUGCGG